rnacentral:rRNA from 1 species
UCUAUACUGUGAAACUGCGAAUGGCUCAUUAAAUCAGUUAUCGUUUAUUUGAUAGUACCUUACUACUUGGAUAACCGUGGUAAUUCUAGAGCUAAUACAUGCUAAAAACCUCGACUUCGGAAGGGGUGUAUUUAUUAGAUAAAAAACCAAUGCCCUUCGGGGCUCCUUGGUGAUUCAUGAUAACUUAACGAAUCGCAUGGCCUUGCGCCGGCGAUGGUUCAUUCAAAUUUCUGCCCUAUCAACUUUCGAUGGUAGGAUAGUGGCCUACCAUGGUAUCAACGGGUAACGGGGAAUUAGGGUUCUAUUCCGGAGAGGGAGCCUGAGAAACGGCUACCACAUCCAAGGAAGGCAGCAGGCGCGCAAAUUACCCAAUCCCGACACGGGGAGGUAGUGACAAUAAAUACUGAUACAGGGCUCUUUUGGGUCUUGUAAUUGGAAUGAGUACAAUUUAAAUACCUUAACGAGGAACAAUUGGAGGGCAAGUCUGGUGCCAGCAGCCGCGGUAAUUCCAGCUCCAAUAGCGUAUAUUAAAGUUGUUGCAGUUAAAAAGCUCGUAGUUGAACCUUGGGCCUGGCUGGCCGGUCCGCCUCACCGCGUGUACUGGUCCGGCCGGGCCUUUCCUUCUGGGGAUCCGCAUGCCCUUCACUGGGUGUGUCGGGGAACCAGGACUUUUACUUUGAAAAAAUUAGAGUGUUCAAAGCAGGCCUUUGCUCGAAUACAUUAGCAUGGAAUAAUAGAAUAGGACGUGCGGUCCUAUUUUGUUGGUUUCUAGGACCGCCGUAAUGAUUAAUAGGGAUAGUCGGGGGCAUCAGUAUUCAAUUGUCAGAGGUGAAAUUCUUGGAUUUAUUGAAGACUAACUACUGCGAAAGCAUUUGCCAAGGAUGUUUUCAUUAAUCAGUGAACGAAAGUUAGGGGAUCGAAGACGAUCAGAUACCGUCGUAGUCUUAACCGUAAACUAUGCCGACUAGGGAUCGGGCGAUGUUAUUCUUUUGACUCGCUCGGCACCUUACGAGAAAUCAAAGUC